ensembl:lncRNA
UACGGUGGUUACGCCCCCUGUGGGAGUGCGUCGGUAAUAACUUUAUUGCAAAAAUACAGGUUCCCUCUUUCCCGGAGCAACACCCCCCCAGAACUGACACACACAGUCUUCACACAGCCACAUGCAGUGUUACCACUUACCACCACACCUCUCUUCCCCACUGGCCACCGCAUCACUCGCAAACACACACUUUCAUCCAGUAGUUUAACAUUCAUUCGCUCUCUUUCUCCCUUUUUUUUUUCUUGCUCCCUCCCUACUUGUUGCUCUCCUUUUUUGCACUCCGUCAGUCGAAACAUAGUAAAUAAAUGCAGAACGACAAAGUUCACCAGCAGCAUUAAACAUGAGAUCUCCUCCACCUCAGCGUGCCAGAGUUCCAUGAGAGCGCUCGUGGGCGGGGGCGAGGGAUGUUUGGGUGAAAGGGGGCGAGGGGGGGAGGUGUGUGUCUGCCUCCUGACUGUCUCUGAUACAGGAUCGUGAGGGAAGGUUGAUUUGCAUAGCGGACUCAUGCGCUACAAUUGGCUACAUUCUCCCACAUCCGGAACCCCCAAAACAAACAAACAAACAAACAAAAACUACAACAGCAACCCAUUUUAAACCUUAAUUAAAGAAGAAAACAAACAGCAAUGUUAAAUACGCUCUCUGAGUUAAGUGCCAACCUUUGGUUUAGUUACAUCGAUCAAUCAACAUCAGUACAAUUCUUGAGGAACUUUACAUUGGCCGGUUUUUGGACUGUUAUUUUAUAUGAUAUUUAAUAGAAUAAAGUAUAUAAUAAAUUUACUCUACACAUGUUAGAAUGUGAAUUAUAACUUGAUACAUGUUUAAUAACUGUUCAUACAACUGAGGAAUGGUUGACAUCUCUGAUAGCUCACUGGCUGAAAAUAUACCUCUAAUACAUAUAUAUCAUAUAAAGCAUAUUCAUAUUAGACAUGUCACCGUCUCAGGCUGAACAUGUGCAUUUUCUAUUCACAUGAGGUCUCAAAACCAGUUUCAGUGGAAGGUAAAAAUAAUGUGAACAGAUAAGUGCCACUGAAGUUCACCUGAGGCCUUUAAGUAAAACAAACGGCAUCGACUUCUCUCCAGCUGCUUCUCGGUCAAAUAGCCUUCGGAAAGUGCACUUCUGCUGAGUAACCUUGUAAAGCGCACUUGAGUCCUCUCUUUCAUUCAUUCAUAAAGCCCAAGAGAAGGAUUUCAAAACCUACGUGCCCUCAUUCUAUUAUGACUUUUUCCUCCCUUGUUGCCCUAUUUCUGAUGCUACCGUUUCAUUUUUGGAAGAAGGAAAGCGCGAAUAAACAACAGCGCGAGAGAGAGAGAGAGAGAGAGAGAGAGAGAGAGGGACGAGGAAAGAAAUGAAGCGCUUUUCUGUUUAUUCUCCCGGUAGAAACGGGAGAGCUGUCAUUAGGUCGGCGAGCGGUUUGCGGACGGGGGGGUCUUGGGGGGGGGCUGGGGACUCCAGCUAGACACUUGUGAAGUGCACUCCACUCCUAUUUGAAACGCAGAUAUUUAAGUUUAUCAAUAUUUGUUAAUUAUCAUUAUCAACAUUCCAUAAGGUCUUAAUAAUUAACAUACAGGUUUCAUACAUGAGUGUUUCUGUACAUGACUUUUAGUUAGUAGUGAGUUCGGUGUUGGGUGGGCGGGUCUACUGUGCGCGUACACAGGAAGAAGAAACUAAAAAUAACAACAACCCCAAAAACAAAGAAGAAACAUACGCCCGUCCAUCCGAAACAGACGGCGUCCUGCUCCGUGUGCGUCCAACGGGAGACGCCCAUGAAGAAAGAGGAAGAGGCGUGGCUGCUUGGUAGGAGCUGAGGGUCACGAGGGACGGAGGACAAGUCCGGUGACCAAGCCGACGACGCCACGUUUAUGGGAAAACCUCUGAACACCCAGCAGGCUUGAGGGGGGGGGGACAAGAAACAACAGUCCCGGGAAGUGAGGGGGAAAGGUUGAGGCUGUAGUUGGGAGGGGGGGGUCAGAGUGACUGCAUAGACAGAGUAGUGGGUCAAAGAGGGAGGGAGGUUGCGUGCGUGUUGUUUUGCGUGUGCGUGUUGUUUCGCAGGGAGGAGGGGGCGGGACAGGGGACGAGCUCGGAUCCUCCCCAGCCGACACUGGGUCCCGCGAAGGCGAGGCCCGUCCAGGAGGAGACGUCAGUGGAGCAGAGGGGGACACUGGUCGGAGGACAGCUUGACGCCCGUCAGACACAGCCAGAAACUCCCCGCGCCGCCCGGCAGCUCCUGAGACAAGACGGGGGGGACAACAGCAUUUUGAUCGCACAAGUUCACUACAAUAAACAAUAUCAAUGUGAACCCUUCAUCUGACCAAUACAGAAAUUGCGCAACCAGCUUUUCUACAGGUGCUGCUGUACGGUUGGAUUCAUGACAUUUUCUGGACAUUUCCUCUGAUCUGUCUAUGCAAACUUUGUAAUUUGGCUUAAAUUCAACCUUAAUCUGAAAACAUCUCUUCCGAGGCUGGAUCACAAAAUAUGAUACUGUACGACAUAGAAAAAUCACAUAAAAAACUAAAACUGUUCUAAAAAUAUUCUACUAUUUUGGGGGAAUAUCUUGCAGAUAUUAUAAGUGACAUGCAUUUUAUUUAAAGAGGGAUGUUUUGUACUUGGGUGAUUUGUUCAAUUAAAUUCAAACAAUUAAAAAAUGUAGGUUUGUAGUGAAACUGUUAUUUUGUGCUGGAUGAAAUAGAAUCAAUCUUAUCAAUUGUGUCUGGAAGCAAGAGGGAACGUUUUCAUGCGUAGAGCGAAAGCAAAGAAGCCACUGAAAAUAAUUUCGACAGGUUGAAUGAGUCUGUGUCUACUUGCUUGUUUCUCUUACAUAUCUGUUUUCCGUUGAGUGUUUCCUCAACAAAGUGAAGCACCAUAGAGAACUGACCUAUUCAUUGAUGUAGCAAGACUUUUGUCUUUAGACCAGCGUUAGGCCUAAAGCCAGCUGUUCCCAUCUGUUGUCAAGGCAAAAUAAUGGAAUUACUUAUAACAUUGCUAAUGUUCAAAUCAGGAGGAAACAAAAACAACAUCCAGAAAAAAUAUUUCAGAUGCGCAUAGUGAUAUUUGCACACUAAAGCUGUGGAAAGACGCCAGAUGCCUCGUAGUAUAAAAGAGAUCUAAAAAGAGAUCUGAAUUGACUCAAACAAAACAGACAGGUCUGCAGUUUUUAAAUGCGGCAUUCGAGUAAAACAACGGAAAACAUGCGUUGUUUCUGAAGAAGGGUAACUUCUGUGUCAGUUUUACAGAAAUAAAAAUAUUCACUAAUGAAAUAAUAACAUGCCAAGAAAAUAUUUUUCCUUUCGCUAUUCUAACCCUCUCUAGAAAUGUCAGUACGUCACACGUGCCCAGCGCAGUGUUUACCUGUGAAGCGGUGGAGGGAGGUGGUGAUGAGAAGGUGUUGGUGAUGAGGAGGAUGGAGGAGAUGACAGUGGUGCAAUGGCAACAGGGACUCAGAAGAGAGGAAGUAAGCAAGGAGAGGCACUGACGUCUGCCUGCUUCACCUUUUGAGAGAGAAAGAGAACGAGGAGAAGCAGAGAGACGAGGACGGAUUGGAAUUCGGAAAGCAGAACAAAGAAAAGGGACAAACGAGACACGCGGCGGGGACAGAAGGGGCGCGCGUGGAGUGCCGCUUCCAUGCAGGUGCAGUUCUAGGGCCCGACCACGGGGGGGCGGCAGAGCUCAGGGAGUCACACUCACGAAGCUACGCGUCGCAGUCAGGCGGCUGCGGCGCGAGGUCACCGCCGUGCCGCUCAGACUGCGUCCGAUCCGCCUCGGGUUUCCCGCGUCGUCAGGCUCCCCCCCGCAGCGCGGAUCCCGCACGAUCGGAG